UACGAAGGGGGCUAGCGUUGUUCGGAAUUACUGGGCGUAAAGGGCGCGUAGGCGGUACUUCAAGUCAGGCGUGAAAGCCCUGGGCUCAACCUGGGAAUGGCAUUGGAUACUGGCGACCUAGAGUGCGGUAGAGGGUGGCGGAAUUCCCGGUGUAGCAGUGAAAUGCGUAGAGAUGUGGAGGAACACCGAUGGCGAAGGCAGCCCCCUGGGCUAACACUGACGCUCAUGCACGAAAGCGUGGGGAGCAAACAGG
rnacentral:rRNA from 1 species